UUGCUUGCAGAAACAGCUGAUUGAAUACAAAAACAAAAUUCCACUAUUACCUAUUAUCUUUUUUUUUUAAAUCUCAAUAAAAAUGGACUUAAAUGUGCUAAAAAUCUGCAUUAGAAAUUUUCCAGAAUCGUUCCGGGAAUCAGAUAUCAAGGAGUUCCUUUCGCGGUUCGGUAUCGGUAGUGUAGAGUGCCUCAAGCGACGAAGAAAAAUCUCGGCAAUCGUUCACUGUUUGGAUGCCGCGCUUGCGAAGUGCCUGAUUGCGCGCCUACAUCAGCUGACAAUCCUCGACAAACGGCUAAUGGUUGAGUAUUACGAUGCGCCGUCCGAAGUGGAGAUUGUGGAUGCUGAAAGUGGGAGUCAAAGCAAACAGAACCAAAGCGAUUCGCCUCAAAAGUUGUGUAAAUUCGUGGAAGCCCUUCAUGCGGUGCAUCCGGUGGACUUUGACCAGCCUCCGCCACCGUACCUCCGAUAUCGGUAUCCUCGACCAACUCGGGAGAUAAUCGACAGUAUCUGCGUUGCCUUGGAAUCGGUUCCGAAAUUCUACACCCAAGUACUACAUCUCAUGAACCGGAUGAAUCUUCCUCCUCCUUUCGUGGCAAAGGAUGUUCAAAGGAACCGCUGUGUAGUAGAAAAGAAAAAUGCAUCGCAACAAACUGAUCCUGUACGAGUCAAAGAGUCUCUCCUAGUAGAUGAUGAAUCCGAAUUAGAGUCGGACGAAGAUUUGACCCCAACAGGUCCGGUCAAACGAAAGCGUGGCUUGGACUACAAUCGACCUAAGCCAUAUAAUUUACCGCAAGUCGUCAAUGUUCCUCAAACCGAUUCAAAGUCGAAAUCUUCCAUGCAGCAGCCAAAACCGUCCCUUAAAACGGGUCAAAACAUAAUUCUACGAAUACCAGAAGAACUCAAAACAACUAAACUUCCAUCCUAUUCACCGCCAAAAUCUCCCACACCUCCUCCGACCAACCGCCCUACAACCGUUACUGAAAUCGACCCUCUGACCAACCGAAUACCUUCGGACCAGCUGGCGGAACUGCCCGUGUUCAAAAACUACCACCCCGGUGAACCGUCCAACAAACUCUACCUGAAGAAUCUCGCCAAAACGGUUUCCGAGGAGGACCUGAAACGAAUCUUCCAUCGGUUCGCCAUCACGGGUGACCCCGCUCGGGAAAUCGACAUCAAACUGAUGCAGACCGGCCGCAUGAAGGGGCAGGCCUUUGUCACCUUUUCCUACAUCUACGAAGAGGACCUGGAACAACUGAAGGAACGGCCAAUCGCACGUGCCCUACGGCUCACGAAUGGGCUCUUGCUCAAGGACAAACCCAUGGUGGUGGUGUACGGGAAAAGCAACACUAGCGCGAAAUCAGAACGAGGGGAGACAGCGUCGUAGGCUGCCAGUUGGUUUCGGGGCUCGCAUAGACUGAGCACAGAGAGGAGAAAGUUUUUGCGCGUUCGUUUAUGUGUUGUUAUGACGCCGUUAAAAAUAUAUGCUUAUGCAAAUGAGUAACGCGAGAGGACUACGCAAACAAUCCGAAGAAAUAUUUGCGCAUGGAUCGAAACGAAAAGGUGACGGAAUUUCGCGAAGUUUCGUGAUUAAGUUUGAAUUUAUCGAGUAGUUAUGUGCGGUUAUUGAUUGAAAGUUUCUCUGAUGGAUACUAACCGAAAGUGUGGAACCAACGAGAUAGCUGCAUAUAAAAGUUGAGCAUUACUUUGUUCAGUAUUUCAUCACUUUGUACGUAUUAGGGCAACGACUGCAAUGUUUUAAUUCACGACAUUGAUAUCAAGUGACAUAGUUCUCAGUCCGGACGACAAAUAUUAACAGGUGUUCGGUUUAAAUGAGAAUGAUAUGGAAUUAUUAGAAUAACGUGGAAAUAAAUUUAUUUGAAGUU